rnacentral:tRNA from 1 species
GAUGGCUCAGUGGUUAAGAGCAUUGACUGCUCUUACAGAGGUCCUGGGUUUGAUUCCCAGUC